rnacentral:rRNA from 1 species
UGGGGAAUAUUGCACAAUGGGCGCAAGCCUGAUGCAGCCAUGCCGCGUGUGUGAAGAAGGCCUUCGGGUUGUAAAGCACUUUCAGCGGGGAGGAAGGCGAUAAGGUUAAUAACCUUGUCGAUUGACGUUACCCGCAGAAGAAGCACCGGCCAACUCCGUGCCAGCAGCCGCGGUAAUACGGAGGGUGCAAGCGUUAAUCGGAAUUACUGGGCGUAAAGCGCACGCAGGCGGUCUGUCAAGUCGGAUGUGAAAUCCCCGGGCUCAACCUGGGAACUGCAUUCGAAACUGGCAAGCUUGAGUCUCGUAGAGGGGGGUAGAAUUCCAGGUGUAGCGGUGAAAUGCGUAGAGAUCUGGAGGAAUACCGGUGGCGAAGGCGGCCCCCUGGACGAAGACUGACGCUCAGGUGCGAAAGCGUGGGGAGCAAACAGG